GUGGUCACUUUGACAGCACAUAUACUAAAACUGGAACGACACAGAGAAGAUCAGCGUGGCCCUGCGCAGGGAUGGCGUGCAAGUUCAUGAAGCGUUCCAUGUUUAU